GAUGAACGCUAGCUACAGGCUUAACACAUGCAAGUCGAGGGGUAACGAGAGGAAAGCUUGCUUUCCUUGUCGACGACCGGCGCACGGGUGAGUAACGCGUAUCCAACCUGCCCCCAACUAGGGAAUAACCUUGCGAAAGUAAGACUAAUACCCUAUAAUUUCCUCAGAUGACAUCUGACGAGGAAUAAAGAUUUAUCGGUUGUGGAUGGGGAUGCGUCUGAUUAGCUUGUUGGCGGGGUAACGGCCCACCAAGGCAACGAUCAGUAGGGGUUCUGCGAGGAAGGUCCCCAACCUUGGAACUGAGACACGGUCCAAACUCCUACGGGAGGCAGCAGUGAGGAAUAUUGGUCAAUGGGCGGAAGCCUGAACCAGCCAAGUAGCGUGCAAGAUGACGGCCCUAUGGGUUGUAAACUGCUUUUAUACAGGAAUAAAGUUAGCCACGUGUGGUUAUUUGUAGGUACUGUAUGAAUAAGGACCGGCUAAUUCCGUGCCAGCCGCCGCAGUAA
rnacentral:rRNA from 1 species